rnacentral:rRNA from 1 species
AACGCGAAGAACCUUACCUGGGCUCGAAAUGCAGGAGACCGGGGUAGAAAUAUCCCUUCCUCGCAAGAGGCUGCUGUAUAGGUGCUGCAUGGCUGUCGUCAGCUCGUGUCGUGAGAUGUUGGGUUAAGUCCCGCAACGAGCGCAACCCUCAUCCCUAGUUGCCACCGGGUAAUGCCGAGCACUCUAGUGAAACCGCCCCGGAUAACGGGGAGGAAGGUGGGGAUGACGUCAAGUCCUCAUGGCCUUUAUGUCCAGGGCUACACACGUGCUACAAUGGUCGGUACAAACCGUCGCAAAGCUGCAAAGUGGAGCUAAUCGGAAAAAGCCGUUCUCAGUUCGGAUUGCAGGCUGCAACUCGCCUGCAUGAAGCUGGAAUCGCUAGUAAUGGCAGAUCAGCACGCCGCCGUGAAUACGUUCCCGGGCCUUGUACACACCGAUAGC